rnacentral:lncRNA from 1 species
AGAGUAUUAGAAUGACAGCAUAUGAAUUAGGGCAGAAAGCAUAAACCAAAUCACUAAAGAUAGUAAUUCAGCCUAAACAAGAAUUUAGGGUAAAAUUUGAUUUGAACAACAACCAAACAAUGUAUUCGGCUCUAAUAGGUAUCCCAAACCAGAUUUCCAAAGUGAUAUAUUCAGCCAAUAAUGAACAAAAUUGAAUGCAAAGACGCAAAGGAUAGUUAAGAAAUUAUUACUAAGCCUAGCUCUGAUACCAAUUGAUGCGGAACCCCAGCCUAUUAGAGACUGAAACGACACAUACCCUAGUAAAAAGAACUUAAUUCAGAAUUUGAAUUGUCAAUAAGGACACAUUUGGCCUAAUUGACUUGGAAUGGCCAGAUUGUUCUUCAACUUCAAAAUGAACUUGCAAAGCUUCAACAUAUUCCUUCAUGAAUCCUUGAAGUGCUUCCUUCAACCUCUUGGAUCUCAGCCUUGUAAUUGGUCCUUGAGGCAAUGCUAGCUCAUCAUUUUUGGUGUUGUUGGUCGUGCUUACAUCAGUAAGGAUUAGGGUGUUUAAUAGUUUCUAGUCCUAAUUUAUCAACUAAAAUAGUACUAGCACAAUUAACUUGACUACCCGAAUCUAUUAUCAUGCUACAGACUUUACCACCAACCAAACAACGAGUGUGAAAGAUGUUUUCACGCUGUUCAAGUCCCUCUUCUUUAAUAGAAACAUUUAAAGUACGCAAUAUCACUAAGGACUCUCCUUGAACAGGAUACUCUUCUAUCUCUACAUCAGAACAAUCUUCUAAAGGUGGUACUUCAUCAGAAUCAGAAUCACUUUCGGAGACUAUCUCAUCUCCCCUCACUACCAUAGCACGUUUAUUAGCACACUCAUUGGCAUAAUGCCCACGCCCUUUACAUUUAAAGCACUGAAUAUCUCUAGUUCUAUUUGAUUUAGGGGCUGAUUCAUUUUUACCAUGAGAGUUGGAUGUUUCUUGGGAAGGUAACAUGCCUUUUUGAGUUGAAGACUUUUCAAACCUUUUAGGAUCAGGCUUGGUGUUCCAUUUGGAACCCCAUUUGCUGUUGGAGUUUUGAGCAGCCCUGUUGCUCCCCCAUCUAUUUCGGCCUCUUUGUCUUUCCACCUUAAUUGCAAUGUUCACCAAGUCUUCCAAAUCAACAUAUGGUUGCAAAUCAACCACAUCAGCAAUCUCCUUGUUUAGACCACCAAAGAAACGAGCCAUAGUCUGGUCUUCCUCCUCCACUAUGUUUGCUUUGAUCAGGAGCAACUCCAUCUCCUUAUGAUACUCAUCAACAGACUUUGAUCCCUGAGUUAAUCUUUGCAAUUGAUGAUGGAGAUCUCUAUGGUAAUAAGUAGGCACAUAUUUCUUCCUCAUGAUUCGCUUCAUCUCAUCCCAACUAGCAAUGGGUAACUCUCCAUUCCUUCUCCUAGAUUUCACAAGCUCAUCCCACCAUAUUAGUGCAUAAUCUGAAAACUCAAGGGCAGCAAGUUUUACCUUUUUAUCAUCGGAAUAGUUUUGACAGUUAAAAACCAUCUCCACUUUACGCUCCCACUCUAAAUAGGCAUCAACAUCAGCCUUACCAUUGAAGCUUGGAAUCUUCAUCUUUAUGGAGUUCAUACUGUUAUCUACAUAUGAUACACGAUCAUUGAACCUUCUGCCUCGGACAGGGGCUGAUUGUGCCUCAUUUUCCUCAUCAUAGGAUGGAUCGUGUGUAUCAUCAUCCCUCUGAAUGGACUUGCCCUUUGAAGAUCUAAGGUUGUCCUCAAGGUUAUCCAUUCUCGAAUUUAGCUUCUGAAAGCUAUCCAUGAAAGCUUUAUAUAUAUCUUUAAGAUCAAAUGUAGGGUCAGAAGUAUCACCAGUAUUAUGCCCAGACAUUAUAGAAAAAAAAUUCACAAUUCUCUCAACUCACGUGUUUAAUUUUCAAGCACUCACUUGGUAUCUCAAAAGUGCACUUCAGAAUAAGGACUCAAUAAGCCAAGCUUGUAUGAUUCAAAUAAUAAGGAAAGCAAGGAAAGACCUAAGAAGAAAAGAUAGGAAACAACAAUAGAUGCAAACUGACCAAAAUGAACAAAUAGAUUGAUUUAGCACACAAAAGUUAAAUUUCGUGUACUAAGUGUAAUUAGAUGUUCAACAAUGUGCAAUUUGUCAAACUAAAUGUAAGGAACCAACAGACAGGAAGACACCAAAUUGACAAACUAAGAAUCAAAAAUUGACAAGACGGAUGUGCUUAACACGAAGUUUUCCCUAAGCAUGCAAUCCUAGGUUAACUGAUAUUAAUAUUGACUCAACAAAAUUAAUUCAAAGCAAGCAAACAAAAUAGACACUUAAAACAGCAAGUAUUAAGCACAACUGUUUUGUGAAAAUACUACCCAAAUUUGUCCUAAACCUACCCCAAAUAUGUAUUUCGAAUUCCAAGCCCAGAAAUAUGUUCAAGGUAUAUGAAAUAUGAUUUAUAUCAGUAGAUAUCAAUCAGGAUGAAGUUUGAACAAAUGAACCAAAGUGGCAGAAAUUCUUUUUUUUUUCCUUUUUUUUUUCUUCUUAUUUUGAUUUUUUUUUUUAUGGACAGAAGUAAAACACUGGAAAUACUAUUCUAAGAGUAUUAGAAUGACAGCAUAUGAAUUAGGGCAGAAAGCAUAAACCAAAUCACUAAAGAUAGUAAUUCAGCCUAAACAAGAAUUUAGGGUAAAAUUUGAUUUGAACAACAACCAAACAAUGUAUUCGGCUCUAAUAGGUAUCCCAAACCAGAUUUCCAAAGUGAUAUAUUCAGCCAAUAAUGGACAAAAUUGAAUGCAAAGACGCAAAGGAUAGUUAAGAAAUUAUUACUAAGCCUAGCUCUGAUACCAAUUGAUGCGGAACCCCAGCCUAUUAGAGACUGAAACGACACAUACCCUAGUAAAAAGAACUUAAUUCAGAAAAUAAUUCCCCAAUCUAAAGCACCCUUAAUUAACAUGCAAUUAAGAACACUUAUAAUGGAUUGAUUUCAAGAGCAGCAAGAAUAAGAAACAUACAAGUUAGUAUCAAACCUUAUUCGUGAUGCAAUGUCAAGAACCAAGAUCUCUCUUAAGCUCUCAAAGAAGAAUCGCAUAAAGCAAUUGUAUUGAAUAAUUGAUAAUCUGUGUCUACAAUAGAAAAAUGGAUGCUUUAUAUAGCCUAAAUUAAGACCCAUGAUCUUUGCCACUUCCCACUACUAUACCUGGACCCAUGAUCUUUGCCACUAACCACAACUAUACAUGGACCCAUGAUCUAUGCCACUAUCCACUACUAGGUAACCACCCACUACUGUUUAACUACCCACUACCAAAUAACUACCCACUACUGGUUAACUACCAACUACUAAAUGACUACCCACUAUAAAUACAGAAUUUGAAUUGUCAAUAAGGACACAUUUGGCCUAAUUGACUUGGAAUGGCCAGAUUGUUCUUCAACUUCAAAAUGAACUUGCAAAGCUUCAACAUAUUCCUUCAUGAAUCCUUGAAGUGCUUCCUUCAACCUCUUGGAUCUCAGCCUUGUAAUUGGUCCUUGAGGCAAUGCUAGCUCAUCAUUUUUGGUGUUGUUGGUCGUGCUUACAUCAUU